UGCGUAGGUGGUUUUUAAGUUAUCUGUGAAAUUCCUGGGCUCAACCUGGGAAGGCCAGAUAAGACUGGAAGACUUGAGUAUAGGAGAGGGCAGUGGAAUUUCCGGUGUAGCGGUGAAAUGCGUAGAGAUCGGAAGGAACACCAGUGGCAAGGCGACUGCCUGGCCUGAUACUGACACUGAGGCACGAAAGCGUGGGUAGCAAACA
rnacentral:rRNA from 1 species